rnacentral:rRNA from 1 species
UAUGUAGGGUGCGAGCGUUAAUCGGAAUUACUGGGCGUAAAGUGUGCGCAGGCGGCCGAGCAAGUCGAGUGUGAAAGCCCCGAGCUUAACUUGGGAACUGCGCUCGAAACUACUUGGCUAGAGUGUGGCAGAGGGAGGUGGAAUUCCACGUGUAGCGGUGAAAUGCGUAGAGAUGUGGAGGAACACCGAUGGCGAAGGCAGCCUCCUGGGCCAACACUGACGCUCAUGCACGAAAGCGUGGGGAGCAAACAGG